rnacentral:rRNA from 1 species
UACGUAGGGGGCGAGCGUUGUCCGGAUUUAUUGGGCGUAAAGAGCGUGUAGGCGGCCAGGUAGGUCUGCUGUGAAAACUCGAGGCUCAACCUCGAGACGUCGGCGGAAACCGUCUGGCUAGAGUCCGGAAGAGGAGAGUGGAAUUCCUGGUGUAGCGGUGAAAUGCGCAGAUAUCAGGAAGAACACCUAUGGCGAAGGCAGCUCUCUGGGACGGUACUGACGCUGAGACGCGAAAGCGUGGGGAGCGAACAGG